GAAAUGCGAUACGUAAUGCGAAUUGCAGAACUCAGUGAAUCAUCAAAUCUUUGAACGCACAUGGCGCUUCUUUGGAAGCAUGCUUGGCUCAGUGUCUGUAAUAGCCCUCUUUCCACUUUCUUUUGGAAAGGCGGAAUAGGUAACUUGAGAGUUGCAGGGUGCUGCAUCUCUUGAAGCGCGAUUUGGGGAGCAAUGAUGCUCAGGUCUUUCCUGGCUGCCUCCAAUGUUGGUUCUGUAUGGUAAGUGGGGUUCAUUCCCACCGCUAACCCAGCAGUGCUGCUUGGUGGUGUACCCGGGGAGCAAGCAACUCUUGUGCCUGUCAUCGAUUUUUGGCUCGCCGAGACCGCCUGCGGUCUCAUCCCAACCCUUCUUUGACCAGACCUGAGUCAAGUAAGAGGACCCGCUGAAUUUAA
rnacentral:misc_RNA from 1 species